rnacentral:rRNA from 1 species
UCCGUAGGUGAACCUGCGGAAGGAUCAUUACCGAGUUGAUUCGAGCUCCGGCUCGACUCUCCCACCCCAUGUGUACCUACCUCUGUUGCUUUGGCGGGCCGCGGUCCUCCGCACCGACCCCCGUUCGGGGGCCGGCCAGCGCCCGCCAGAGGACCACAAAACUCCAGUCAGUAAACGUCGCAGUCUGAGAAACAAGUUAAUAAACUAAAACUUUCAACAACGGAUCUCUUGGUUCUGGCAUCGAUGAAGAACGCAGCGAAAUGCGAUAAGUAAUGUGAAUUGCAGAAUUCAGUGAAUCAUCGAAUCUUUGAACGCACAUUGCGCCCCUUGGUAUUCCGAGGGGCAUGCCUGUUCGAGCGUCAUUUCAACCCUCAAGCUCUGCUUGGUAUUGGGCUCCGUCCUCCGCGGACGCGCCUCGAAGACCUCGGCGGUGGCGUCUUGCCUCAAGCGUAGUAGAAAACACCUCGCUUUGGAGCGCAUGGCGUCGCCCGCCGGACGAACCUUUGAAUUUUUCUCAAGGUUGACCUCGGAUCAGGUAGGGAUACCCGCUGAACUUAAGCAUAUCAAUAAGCGGAGGA